rnacentral:rRNA from 1 species
UAAGGAAUAUUGGUCAAUGGGCGCAAGCCUGAACCAGCCAUGCCGCGUGCAGGAAGACGGCCCUAUGGGUUGUAAACUGCUUUUAUCAGGGAAUAAACCCCCGCUCGUGAGCGGGGCUGAAGGUACCUGAAGAAUAAGCAUCGGCUAACUCCGUGCCAGCAGCCGCGGUAAUACGGAGGAUGCAAGCGUUAUCCGGAUUCAUUGGGUCUAAAGGGUGCGCAGGCGGAUUGGUAAGUCAGGGGUGAAAUCCCACAGCUCAACUGUGGAACUGCCUUUGAUGCUGUCAGUCUAGAGUAUAGUUGAAGUGGCGGAAUGUGUCAUGUAGCGGUGAAAUGCUUAGAUAUGACACAGAACACCGAUCGCGAAGGCAGCUCGCUAAGCUAUAACUGACGCUCAUGCACGAAAGCGUGGGGAUCAAACAG